rnacentral:rRNA from 1 species
AGAGGUUUGAUCCUGGGCUCAGAACGAACGCUGGCGGCAGGCUUAACACAUGCAAGUCGGAGGUGACGCAGGGCUUCGGCCCUGCGGAAACUGGCGCACGGGUGAGUAACGCGUGGGAAUCUACCCCGGGGUGGGGAAUAACCGCUGGAAACGGCGGCUAAUACCGCAUACGCCUUGAGAGGGAAAGCUUUAUGCGCCCUGGGAUGAGCCCGCGUCGGAUUAGCUUGUUGGUGAGGUAACGGCUCACCAAGGCUUCGAUCCGUAGCUGGUCUGAGAGGAUGAUCAGCCACACUGGGACUGAGACACGGCCCAGACUCCUACGGGAGGCAGCAGUGGGGAAUAUUGGACAAUGGGGGAAACCCUGAUCCAGCCAUGCCGCGUGCGUGAAGAAGGCCUUAGGGUUGUAAAGCGCUUUC